AUGGCUCAGUGAGGCUUUCGGACUGGCCCAGAGAGGUGGGCAACUACCACUCAGGGCCGGAAAGUUAUCCAAACUCGGUCAUUUAGAGGAAGUAAAAGUCGUAACAAGGUCUCCGUUGGUGAACCAGCGGAGGGAUCAUUACUGAGUUACCGCUCUACAACCCUUUGUGAACAUACCU
rnacentral:rRNA from 1 species